rnacentral:rRNA from 1 species
GACGAACGCUGGCGGCGUGCUUAACACAUGCAAGUCGAACGAUAAGGCCCUGCUUUUGUGCGUUGGUGGGAUGGCGAAGGGGUGAGUAGCCCGUGAGUAACGUGCCACUUACUUAAGGAUAACUUCAGAUAGCUGGGGCUACUGCCGGCUAGGAUUUAUUGCUGCUUGAUGGGUGUUGGAACGUUUCGGCGGUUGGGAAUGGACGCGCGGCUUAUCAGGUCGUUGGUGGGGUUGUGGAUUAGCAAGGCUAUGGCGGGGAGCAGGCCCGGGAGGGUGACGGGCCACAUUGGGACUGGGACAGGGCCCAGACUCCUACUGGAGGCAGCAGUGGGGAAUAUUGCACAAUGGGCGGAAGCGUGAUGCAGAAACGCCGCGUGCGGGAUGACGGCCAUCGGGUUGUAAACCGCUUUCUCCUGUGACGAAGAGUGAGUGACGGGAAUGGGUAAAGAAGCACCGGCUAACUACGUG